rnacentral:rRNA from 1 species
GACGGAGGAGGCAAGCGUAGUCCGGAGUUAUUGGGCGUAAAGGGUACGUAGGCGGCUGGUCAAGUCUGGGGUCAAAGGCCACAGCUCAACUGUGGGAAGGCCCUGGAAACUGACCGGCUAGAGUGAGGUAGGGGUUGCGGGAAUUCCCGGUGUAGCGGUGAAAUGCGUAGAGAUCGGGAAGAACACCUGAGGCGGAAGCGCGCAACUGGGCCUCAACUGACGCUGAGGUACGAAAGCUAGGGGAGCGAAGGGG